AUGCUUCCAUAUAUAUCAAAUUAAACUGAAAAACAAGAUAAACAUCAAUAUUGUUUGUGUUCACUCUAAUAUGACCAGCUGCAAACAAUUCACUUGUUAAAACAGAAUGAAAGUACAGGUAAGAGAAAGAGAAGUUACAUUGUAAAAUAACGUGAAACUGGUUAAUAAUUUUUUCUCAGAUCCCAACAGAUGAAUAGCAAAACUCUGCCCAUAUUUCACAAAUGUGUCCUCAAGGUAGCUGGGGGAACAAGCUGCAAACAGAGGUUCACACGUAAUUUUUAAAAGCUAUGACUGCACAACACAUUUAAAUAUUCUUCUUGCUCUGAAGACAAUCCCAUGAAGGUGGUAAGCCUAGUUUAUUGUUUCACCAUCCUCAUGUCCAGGGAGGGGAAAUGCACUUUUUUGCUUCCUAUUUUAACACAUUUAUAUUGGUAGCUGAUAGCUAUUUUCUCCAAGUUUACCUGUCCCAUGACAGUAAGAAGAUGUGCAAAAGCAGAAUUUUAUCAAAAUUUAUAAUUUAAAUCUCUGAAUUUUAAAGUAGUCCAGGAUAUAAAAACACCCAGCUCAUAAAUUUUUAGAAUGAAAUACAGUUGCCUCAUGAUAGCUCAAGAGCCAACGUAUCUGAAGGUAGAACAUAAACCAACA